GGAUUAGAUACCCUGGUAGUCCACGCCGUAAACGAUGUCUACUAGCCGUUGGGGGGCUUGUCCCUUUAGUGGCGAAGCUAACGCGAUAAGUAGACCGCCUGGGGAGUACGGUCGCAAGAUUAAAACUCAAAUGAAUUGACGGGGGCCCGCACAAGCGGUGGAGCAUGUGGUUUAAUUCGAUGCAACGCGAAGAACCUUACCAGGCCUUGACAUCCUGAGAACUUUCUAGAGAUAGAUUGGUGCCUUCGGGAACUCAGUGACAGGUGUUGCAUGGCUGUCGUCAGCUCGUGCCG
rnacentral:rRNA from 1 species